rnacentral:rRNA from 1 species
CAAGGCUUGACAUAUAGAGGAAAAGUGCAGAGAUGCACUCCCCGCAAGGUCUCUAUACAGGUGGUGCAUGGUUGUCGUCAGCUCGUGUCGUGAGAUGUUGGGUUAAGUCCCGCAACGAGCGCAACCCUCGUCCUAUGUUGCCAGCACGUUAAGGUGGGAACUCAUGGGAUACUGCCGGGGUCAACUCGGAGGAAGGUGGGGAUGACGUCAAAUCAUCAUGCCCCUUAUGUCUUGGGCUUCACGCAUGCUACAAUGGCCGGUACAGAGGGCAGCAAUACCGCAAGGUGGAGCGAAUCCCAGAAAGCCGGUCUCAGUUCGGAAGGAGGUCUGCAACUCGACCUCAUGAAGUCGGAGUAGCUAAUAAGGGCGAAUCAGCAACGUCGCGGUGAAUACGUUCCCGCGGUCUUGUUACACACCCGAAUAUAGAGCAUCCUCGGGGCC